AGAGUUUGAUCCUGGCUCAGGACGAACGCUGGCGGCGUGCUUAACACAUGCAAGUCGAACGAUGAAGCCAGCUUGCUGGUGGAUUAGUGGCGAACGGGUGAGUAACACGUGGGCAACCUGCCCUCAGCUCUGGGAUAACUCCAAGAAAUUGGUGCUAAUACCGGAUAUUCAUUCAGCCUCGCAUGGGGUUGUGUGGAAAGUUUUUCGGCUGGGGAUGGGCCCGCGGCCUAUCAGCUUGUUGGUGGGGUGAUGGCCUACCAAGGCGACGACGGGUAGCCGGCCUGAGAGGGUGACCGGCCACACUGGGACUGAGACACGGCCCAGACUCCUACGGGAGGCAGCAGUGGGGAAUAUUGCGCAAUGGGCGGAAGCCUGACGCAGCGACGCCGCGUGAGGGAUGACGGCCUUCGGGUUGUAAACCUCUUUCAGCAGGGACGAAGCGAAAGUGACGGUACCUGCAGAAGAAGCACCGGCCAACUACGUGCCAGCAGCCGCGGUAAUAC
rnacentral:rRNA from 1 species